UGUUGAAACACCGGUUCCCAUCCAAUCACUAAAGUUGAGCAAUGUUGAGCCUGGUUAAUAGCUAGAUGGGUGACUAUCUGGGAAUUCCAGGUGCUGUAA